CUCAUUUUGCGUGAGUUGCCAGGUGCUGCUGUGGUAAUGGGUGCUGAUGAGCCAGCCUUCGUGGCAGGGCUGUGGCUUUAUUUUAUGUCAGAAUUUGAGGCCUACGAUUUUCCCACUCAACUGGGGUGUGGAUGCUGCUGCACGUAUCUCCCAUUUUGCCCUUCUGCUUUGUGUGAAAGAAUAGCAAAACAUGCCAUCUCUGUGUGCAAUUUCUGAAGUAAGUAAAGUGAAAUACUUCCAAGUCAGUAAAAUACUUCAAGGUUCCCUAAACUUUGGGUCUGGGAGGUGACCACUCCUUUGUCUAUGAUGCAAGCACAGCGGUGAUGCAGGCACUCGCUGAGGUCACAGUGGCUGCCGGGCUGGGAGCGUUUGUGCCCCAGCUGGGAGCAGAGCUGGUGCUCUAGUGAGCGUGGUGCACACUGAGACCGAGCUCUGUGCUGUCAUGGAGAGAUCUUCCUGUGAGAGCCCACUGGAAGCAGCGCUGCGGCGUGUGUGAGAGCUGGGCACAGCUCCGGCUGAGCAGUGGCCAGGUGAGCUGGGGUUGGUGCUGGGUGUCUCAGCAGGAAAGCUGGGCUGGGGUGGGCAGCUGCGUCAGCCCUUGUCCAGGCUGGCGGUGAGACAAAAGGAGUUUUCUUCACGACAGCAACACCAGCCGUGUGCUUCAAGGUGCAAAACUAUGGAGGAGAUGGAGAAGAACGCUUGCUGUCAGAACUCAUGGCAGCUGCACGGGAGCUGGGUGUAUUUGGGAGACAGUUCUCAUUAGUAGUUGGUUUGGAGUAUUGCCCUGCCCGAUAGCUUAAACUGCAUAGCAGAGGAAAGCUGGGAAAAUGCUUUUUCCUGUUUUUCACUUGCAGGUUCUUUCUUCAGGGUUGGUUUACAAAAGGAGGUGUUGGGGACUGAGGCAGUUGAAGAGUGAAGCCAGCUCUUUCCACCAGCGGGGGGUCAGUCCCUGUGGAGAGGACCCCAGGAACGUGAGCUUCCUCUGAGACGUUCCCCACAUGUCCCAGCAGGGACACAGACGCGGUUCCCAUUCCUGCUUUGCGCGUGGAAAGAAGCAGCGCCGUGCUGUUCCCCAUGCUAGGGAGCAGCAGCCAGCAGGCUGCCCCAGUGCCAGCUGGGCCUUGCAGCGCGCAGAGGGACGCGAUGGGGA